AACCUCCACUCUCCUGAACCAUCAGAUGGAAACACAGCUCUGAAUGGUUAUAAAAGGAGAAAAGUAAAAUCGAAACCGACUUCCAUUUGUUUGUGGUACAUGAACUAGUUUCAAAAAGGC
rnacentral:snoRNA from 1 species